CGUUAGCGGCGGACGGGUGAGUAACACGUGGGUAACCUACCUAUAAGACUGGAAUAACUCCGGGAAACCGGGGCUAAUGCCGGAUAACAUGUUGAACCGCAUGGUUCUACAGUGAAAGACGGUCUUGCUGUCACUUAUAGAUGGACCCGCGCCGUAUUAGCUAGUUGGUGGGGUAACGGCCUACCAAGGCGACGAUACGUAGCCGACCUGAGAGGGUGAUCGGCCACACUGGAACUGAGACACGGUCCAGACUCCUACGGGAGGCAGCAGUAGGGAAUCUUCCGCAAUGGGCGAAAGCCUGACGGAGCAACGCCGCGUGAGUGAUGAAGGUCUUCGGAUCGUAAAGCUCUGUUGUUAGGGAAGAACAAAUGUGUAAGUAACUGUGCACAUCUUGACGGUACCUAACCAGAAAGCCACGGCUAACUACGUGCCAGCAGCCGCGGUAAUACGUAGGUGGCAAGCGUUAUCCGGAAUUAUUGGGCGUAAAGCGCGCGUAGGCGGUUUUUUAAGUCUGAUGUGAAAGCCCACGGCUCAACCGUGGAGGGUCAUUGGAAACUGGAAAACUUGAGUGCAGAAGAGGAAAGUGGAAUUCCAUGUGUAGCGGUGAAAUGCGCAGAGAUAUGGAGGAACACCAGUGGCGAAGGCGGCUUUCUGGUCUGCAACUGACGCUGAUGUGCGAAAGCGUGGGGAUCAAACAGGAUUAGAUACCCUGGUAGUCCACGCCGUAAACGAUGAGUGCUAAGUGUUAGGGGGUUUCCGCCCCUUAGUGCUGCAGCUAAGGCAUUAAGCACUCCGCCUGGCGAGUACGGUCGCAAGACUGAGACUCAAAGGAAUUGACGGGGACCCGCAC
rnacentral:rRNA from 1 species